rnacentral:rRNA from 1 species
CCUACGGGAGGCAGCAGUGAGGAAUAUUGGUCAAUGGACGAGAGUCUGAACCAGCCAAGUAGCGUGAAGGAUGACUGCCCUAUGGGCUGUAAACUUCUUUUAUAAAGGAAUAAAACGAGGCACGUGUGCCUUUUUGCAUGUACUUUAUGAAUAAGGAUCGGCUAACUCCGUGCCAGCAGCCGCGGUAGUACGGAGGAUCCGAGCGUUAUCCGGAUUUAUUGGGUUUAAAGGGAGCGUAGAUGGGUUGUUAAGUCAGUUGUGAAAGUUUGCGACUCAACCGUAAAAUUGCAAUUGAUACUGGCAGUCUUGAGUACAGUUGAGGUAGGUGGAAUUCGUGGUGUAGCGGUGAAAUGCUUAGAUAUCACGAAGAACCCCGAUUGCGAAGGCAGCUUACUAAACUGUGACUGACAUUGAUGCUCGAAAGUGUGGGUAUCAAACAGGAUUAGAUACCCUUGUAGUC